GUUUGCAUAGUUUAAAAAAAUCGUGAGGCUGUUAACUUUAAGAUGCUUGUUAGUGGGCUGCAAACG
rnacentral:tRNA from 1 species